CUUGCAUCUUAUGAAAUCCUCUUGUGAAACUCCAUGCAACAUACAAAUGUCCAUGGGCAGAAAGACCUUUCGCCUUGCACAAUGGUACGGAGUAGCUCUCAAACAGGUAACGAUGCCCUGUGCUUUCCCAAUGUGACUGGCUGCGUGGUCAGCGUGGACGUCCCUCACACCCAGCAUUUCCAACGUGAGGUAGAAGAGAGCACUCUGAGUGUUCUCAGCAUACGUUUCAAGCUCCUGGAUGUUACGGUAUGCUCUGUCAUCCAAAUUCUUCUCUCUUUCAUCAAUGAUCUUCAUGAACCACAUUUUAGACAAGUUAUGCCUCUUAACAGCCCUCCACAGUGCUACAGCAACUGGCUGAUGUGGUGGGUUAUCGCAGUAUAUAUCUUCCACAGCCUUCCUCCAGAACUGCAUUCGCAUCAAACCUGUAGUCUUCUGAGUUAUGGAGUCUUUAAUCUGCCUGGGCCAGCUCCACAUUGAAGGCUCUCAAGGCAAAAGCAGAGGUUCGAGAUUCUGCAGGCAACAGCAGAGAACACAGAAACCCUUCAUAGUCACGUUUUCGCAGCAGCUCGGCGCAGUACUGCGCUUCUCCGCCGGGCUCCGGCCGGCUCCAGCCCGCCGCCGCCGCCCUCCCGCCCCGCGGCCACGGCAGCCCGCCGCGGGCCCCCACCGCUCUCAGCAGACGGGGGAACGACACGGGCCGCAGCCCGCCCGCAGCCGUGGCGGCCGCCAUGCUGCCCGCCGCACCGCGCCGCUCCGCCCCUGCCGUCAGUCAGCCCGAGCCCCAUAGGGCGGCCCCUUCCUCACGCUGCUCCGGGGAGCGUACGCAUCGAGGGGCCGAUAGGUGGCGCCCGAGAACGCGCGAUGGCGGCCCAGGUGUUGGGGCGCCGCGUGGCCUUUUGUUGUCCUGCAAAUGGCCUCCGCUGUUGGCUGCUGCGGCGGGUUGAGCUGAGCGGCCCUACGCCUCGCAGGCCCUGCGUGGGGCCUCACACAGCGCCCGCUGAGCCUGGAGGGGCGAGGUGAUAAAAUCUCCUGUUGCAGCAGUCCCAAACUCUGACGGGCAGUGCUCAUAGACAGGCCGCUGCCAGGCAAUGCGGCGCUGGUACUGCACAUGGGAUGAGGCUUCAGGGGAGACCUAACGCUACACGAGCCAGCUGCUGUCCUAGCAUCCUCAUAGGAUGGCUUAGCUUGGAAGGGAUCUGGAAACCCACCAAGUUCUGACCGCCAGCUGUGGGCAGGGCUGCUGCCCGCUGGAUCAUUGCCCAGAGCCCCAUAAAGCCUGGCCUUGAACACAUCCAGGGACGGGGCACCCACUGCUUCUCUGGGCAGCCGUGCCAGGGCCUUACCACCAUCACAGUGAAAAUCUUCCCCUGACAACUAAUAGAACUCUAAUAGUUUAAAACAGUUCCCCCUUUUCCUAUCACUAUCAGACCAUGUAAAAAGUCGGUCUCCCCUGUGCUUAUAAGCUGCCUUUAUAUAAUGGAAGGCCACAGUGAAGUCUUCCCUGUGCCUUCUCCAGGCUGAACAAGCCCAGCUCCCUCAGUCUGUCUUUGUAGGUGCUCCAGCCCUCCCGUUGCCCCUGUGUCCUCCCCUGGACCGCGUCCAUCACUGGAGGACGACUUAGAAGCCUCCAGCUGCAGGCUGGGGCACUGCUGGACCUUGAGCUGGACACAGCCUGUCUGCAGUGCUAGCUCACAGAGCAGCCAUUUUAGUCCUGUAGUCACAGGCAGAGCAGCUGUGCUCUCUCCAGGUUUGGCCUAGAUGAGGAUAAACCAAUACAUAAAGCUUGCCAUGCUUAAGAGCUGCUUUAUCUUAAAACUACACCAAACCGAACUGCAUGUAGUUACUAGUAGAAGCAGCAGCAGCAGGUGAGCUUUCUGUCCUCAGCCUUGCCACCCUGAUUCCAGUUUCACUGCUGUCUUUGUUGUGCUGAGUUAGUCCUCCACCAAUCUGGUGGUGUGAAUCAGUUUGCUGUGAGAACUUCAGCAGGGGAAUUUAGCAUGAGC
rnacentral:lncRNA from 1 species